GGAAUUACUGGGCGUAAAGGGCUCGUAGGCGGCCAACUAAGUCAGACGGGAAAUCCCUCGGCUUAACCGGGGAACUGCGUCUGAUACUGGAUGGCUUGAGUUUGGGAGAGGGAUGCGGAAUUCCAGGUGUAGCGGUGAAAUGCGUAGAUAUCUGGAGGAACACCGGUGGCGAAGGCGGCAUCCUGGACCAACACUGACGCUGAGGCACGAAAGCGUGGGGAGCAAACAGG
rnacentral:rRNA from 1 species